rnacentral:piRNA from 1 species
UCUGCAGCUCGUUUCUGAAAUGAUGGA